rnacentral:misc_RNA from 1 species
AACUCUUCUUGUUGUUUCCUCGUAUAGCAGACGCCGUCCCGUCCACCCUCAUCCACCCCCAUUCACCUCGAGCUCCCCCUGUUUCUGAGAACCCUAGCCCGCCGCCGCCGCCGCCAUGGAUCGUUCCCCCGUGUCGUAUCUGUCCAGUAGCUUUCGUCUUCCCCCAGGAGCAUCGGUCUCCGAUGCGCGCGAUGCCGCUCGCGCCGCUGCUGCUGCGGCUGAGGAAGCAUGUAGCGAAGCGAGGGCUGCGGAGAAGAAGGCCAUAGCCGCCGCUGAGCUUGCCACACUUGCUGUGGACAAGGACAAGGCAGGAGAUGGCGUACAUGCUGUGCACGACGCCGCCACCCUGGAAGUUAACCCAAAUGGCCAGUUUUGUGCACAUCACUGUUUUCUGCCAGUUUGUGCAGUUCACUAGUUUCUGGCACUUUGUGCAGUUCAUCUGGCACUUAAUCUACCAAAACAGAAACUGGCAGCCAAUUCAUAUGAAUUGCUUCAUCUACCUCAAACCGACACUAUACAUUGCAUUGCACAAUUGUGGCACAAAAAACUGCUGCAGCAAACAAGACUCGCACUACAUAAACUCAUUUUUUUUAGAAAAGGGAAUAUUAUUAAUAUUCCAGCUUCUGUAUCGGUUGAUACAUUCGGCUGUCAAACUCACAAACAUGGGGUUCCACAUUGGAACGAAAUCUUACAUUCUACAAAGGUUUCAUAAAUUUAAGCUCUCAAACUAUGCUCUCAAUCUAUGAAAAAAAGACCAUCCAUUAUUUGAAAAGAUCUCCAUCAUUGUUGUUUCAAGCACACGAC